GAAGUUUUUAAUAUAAGUCAUUAGAAUUUGCAAUAAGCGAGCUGCGCGUCAAUAUUGUGAAUAUAAAUCCGCAAAUAAAGAUAAUUUUAAUCUUGAUUUUCUAAAAUUCAAUUCAAAAAGGUAUUCCUAGUGACAACAGCAUAUACAAAAUAUAACUUAAUUGCUGCCCACUAGCUAGCUAAAACCAACACCUAAUUGGGCUCCACAUUUAAAAAAUAUUUGAAAUACAUGGCCGCCGGUUUAUUCGGCAAAGCGAAGGAUUGCGAUGUUGUUGCUGUCUCGGACUUUGUACUUAGUUAGUGUAGUCAUGGCUAAUGAAUUGCUGAUCUCCCAUUUGAUUUUAAAUGCUUGGAUAUUGGUAAUAGGAUGAGAUAACAAAUCGAUUUCUUAAUCAUUGCAUACUGUGCAUCCUUUCAAAGUCCUAUGGCCGGAGGAUAAGAGGCUACCAUUCGACUUUGAGCCGGUGAUCAAGAUCCUCUUCUAAGGAUUCGGCUGGCAAGCAGUACCGAAGGAAGCAAUCAACUAAACUUUAAAGAAGUAAUAAACCAAAUUGUUUUAUUGCAACAGAUUAAUGGACAAUAAAGAUAAGAAAAUCUUUUUCAAUGCAA